rnacentral:tRNA from 1 species
CAACACUUAGCUGAGAUGGUUUAGCGCUGAACUCGAGUUCAGAUGGUCUGGGUUCAAACCUCGGUGGGUUGA